CAAACAAAAAGGGAGGGGAGGAGUAGUUAAGUGGGCCAAUACUUCGGAGGCUUAGACGCUGGGGGGUGUUAGCCUGGAGAAGAAAAGGAGGGAAAAGCAACCCAGAAAAGUUUCUGGGGUAUUUGCUUGGCCUUUUUGUAAAUCUUCAACUGCGCAACACCUUGGUCCAUUCAUGAAAAAGUUAAACAUGAGCCGAAGACAUUGUCCAUGUGUUCUCAGCACUCAUGUAGCAUCUAGUGGAGGAGUAUCAUGCAGUCGACUCAAAGGUUUACAGCUUAUGAAUACACAGAGGCAGCGAUCAGAAUGUUGUGCUUUUAGCAGUGUCUUUGAUUCAUUGUGAUUUAAAACUCUGUAGUUUCCGUAUCUUCAUCAUCCAUGUCAUGAGGUGCAUGUGAAAAAAAACAGGAGGGUUGGUUCAAUUCUAUGCAGUGAAAGCUCGAUUGAAUGAUGCACUGGUAAGGGUGGUGAAGGUAGUAUGGAGAUUUUAGAAGAAGUUGGGGGACCGAAAGAUGACCUGGAUACAGAGUGUUAAGAAUGAUGUGCGUAGUUGUCUCCUAAAGUAAUUCCAAGAGGAAAGGCAACCUGCGUGAAAGAAAGAACAUAAUCCAUGAAAGUCCGACACUAGUGUUAUUCAUGCCAACCUAAGAACAUAACAAUAAAGCUAAUAAACUGUGGAAGUUUUAGUUUCUUAUUUCUCCUUAUGUUCUCCAAGUCAUUAAAAAGAAAAAGGCAUUAGGCAUUCUCUUAUGCGAAUUACAAAUGCCAGAGACAAUUUUCAUUGAGCACAUCUCUAUAGUCCUAAACUCAUUAGUUGGUUAACUUUUCUAAAACCACAAUCCAUGCUUAGGUCUUCUCAACUUUCUUCCCUUGCCUCUGCGCAUCAUAUAACCUAAGUAUCUUCUUCUGCUGUAUCCAAAGAAAUGUAGCCUUCACUAAAUCUCCAGAAAAGUUCUGUAUUUGAAUCAAGUAGUUGUAGAAAGCAUAGUACGAAGUACUCGUAAGAAGUAAGAACAUUGUCAAAAUCUCAUAUGAGCUUUACCAAUCACUAGAAUAAUAGGCCUGAAAUCCCUCACCGUUAUAGUGUUUUUUCUUUUAUGAAAUAAGAACAAUGAAAUUGAAAUUUGUAUUUGACUCUCUAGCUCUUUAAGCAAAUUAUCUGUUAUAAAUACCAAUCUUUGGAGAAGACAGUAGCAAGACGAGCACUAAAAUCAGCUUGUCUAAGCAAAAAACAAUAGUCAUAGCGUUUAUCUGCUGGAAGUUUUGGUGUUUGCUGAUAAAGGAACUUUGUUUCUGGAAUAGGAGCCUCAAGAUUUCUAUUGUAAUGGACAGUUUGCUUAAAAUGAACUGCUUGUAGUUUGCAGAAACACAGUAGUAGAGUAGUAGUAGCCACGUUUGUUAUAAAGUGAGAUCAUUUUUACUAUUCCAACUUGCUGUCCUGCAAGUGACAACAUUUCAGGGCUGUAUUAUGUGCCUCUGGUUUAAAUCUGUAAUAUGGCUAUAUUAAACAAUCAGCCGAUUAUCUAUAAGUAAGUUG